CCGGCCCAGCCGCUGGGCUGCCCCUAUACUGAGCAUUAUUUUGUGUAUUUUGUGUAUUUUGUGGCCCUGGCCGGCUCGAGGGUUGCCCGCGGAUACCUCGACACUCAAGGAGCACUGCAGUGUCAACCUGGUGACCUCAGGCGAGCGCUGUCCCCCGUGUCCCGCCGGAGUCCUCCCACGAACCUGUAACUUACACUCUUACUGAUUCAUCAGUUCACACCACAACACCAGAAAACAGAACAACACGAGCAGACCAACCAGAGCAGGCAGCCCAAGGGAGCUGUGAGAAGGAGAA
rnacentral:lncRNA from 1 species